rnacentral:lncRNA from 1 species
UUCAGCUUCUUUAAGAAGAAUAGACGUCGGAUCCCAAUCAAACACUAACGUCUAUAGACGUCGGUUUCUGGCGCAACCGAUGCCCAAUUUCAUUUUAAAUAAACCGCAGACCCUUCUAACCACUCAGAUUUUGAUCGCAUCUUCAUCUCUUCUCCUUUUUCUCUGGUUCUCCUCUUCUUUUACUCCCUUGCGCACCUCUACUUUUUAUCUCUUCCGGCAUUGCAUUGUAUUUUGUCAUAACGUCAUUGUCUUCGUCCUCUCCUUUUUCUCUCUUCAUCCCAAGUGCGUGGUUUUUUCUUAUGCUUACC